AGAUGGAGAUGAUCCUUGAUAGGUCUGGUGGCUGGCUCGGGGUCUACUGAAGGCUGUCUUGAUCAGGAAACUGAAGACUCUCUGCUUUUGCCACAGCAGUUCCUGCAGCUUCCUUGAGGUGAGCCCAGGGCAGGAGCCUCCCCACAGCCCCAGGGAUCACCUGAAUCUGCAGCCACUCUUUGGGCCUCUGUUUUCCUGUUCAUACCCUGGUUCCUUUGCCCCUCAGCAGACUGGCUGAGGACCUACCCUACUUCCUCCAAGCCCAGAGGGGAAGCCAGGUAAGCCUCACAGCCCAGAGGUGUCCUAAGGGGCCUUUUCCUUAGAAGGGCCAUGGAGCCAGGCCCAGAGCUCACGCUCACGGUUCACACAGCUUCACUUUGUAAGGAACAAAAUGAAACAAAAAAUCUCACACACCCAGGUGAGAACAGGAACAUCUGGCUUUGGGGGACUGGUGGGCCCCAGCGUCUAGGCUCAUCUAGGCCCGUCUGCCCUCUCCAGCCUCUGUGGGGGAAGAGGCAGUACUUCCUCGUUCCAGACCCUCUGGCUGGGAGCCCAGGUCUUGGGCUAUGGAGCAGCCCCUGUGUGCAGGCCCCCACCUGCCCGCCACUCUCACAGGCCUCUCCUCUCCAGAAGCCCCCCCCCAAGACAAAAGCCUAGAGGGAGAGAGGCCGGAGUCCCCAGGCUUGGCUUGCAGCCUGGCUCUGCCCAGGACCUGCUGCGGAGUCUUGGGCAAGUUCUAUUCUCUCUCCGACCCUUGAUCUUGAUUUCUUUGAAUUGGGAGCUGCGGCAGGUGAGGGGGUCUCUUAGAGCUCUUUCCAGAAUACCAUGGAAGGGAAAAAUCCUAACAGAUCAAAGAAGUUUGCUAAGGGUCAGGAAGCAGGGGAUACACGGGCCUCUCCUACCCGUGUAGGAGGCAGGAAGGGUCAAAGCAGAGGCCAGCUCUCCUGGACUGUGGGGGAAGGGCUGGCGGGGGGGAGGCCCACGAGGACUGGCCACAGCCACCAUGCAGGAACGUCCUGGUGUGGCCUGGCUUGGCUCUCUCAGACCCAAGGCUUCCGUGUAGAAUGUCUGUGGUUAUUAAACAGACAGGCCUAGUGGAAACAACCCUGCCACCUGCAUGUUCUCUGAGCCUCAGUUUCUUCCUCUGGAAAGUGGGUUAACCGCAGUACCCAACUCAUAGGCCACCAUAAAGAUUCAAUGAGGUGUGUUUGCAAAGUGCCUGGCAGAGAGUAAGCUGCUCUGUUUCUCAUCCUUGUUAUUACUGUUAUUGAGAUGGUUGCUGUCGUUCUUGGGGCCCAAGAAGGGAAGCCAGCCCUGAAGCAAAUCCUGCUGGAGUGAGCCUGGGCCCAGAGACAUGGCAGGCGGGACAGGCAGCUCCAGGCCCAGAUGCUGUCCAGGAGCAGGGCCAAAGCACCCUCUCACUUCUGGGUGUUUGAUUCGGGUCACUGGCCUGGGUUAGUGAGAAGGGCUGGAGACAGGAUGUUUCCCUCCCUGGUGCAGCCCCCAGCCCCCUGGGUGGCCUUGGGCUAGAGGCUCUGAGUCCUCAGAAGUCAAGUUCAUCAGGCCUCCUGCCUGUCUGACCGCCCUGCCCCCACUCCGUGGUUUUCCAUCCUGUCACUUGUAGGGCGGGGUCGGCGACCUAGGAGGGCCAUGGGUGGAGCUUGGUCUGAGGCUCAGGAAGCGGAUGGAGGUGGGCACCAGGGACAGGAAGCCUCCAAUCCACCCUUGCGGGCCACCCCCUCCCUGCCUGGUGGGCAGUGCCUUUAUGGCCUAAAGGCUGGACCCUGGGGGACUGCUGCUGACUUUUGUUUUAAUUGGAAACAAACUGGUAUUAACUUCCCAUAUAAGUACAGUGCAAACAACCUAGAAGUUUAUAAAGGGAAAAGUGAAGGUAGCACCCAACCGUCCUGCCCCACCUUCACUUUAACAGGGAAUCAACUGCUGGUAGUCCUUGUGGGUCCUUCCAGACACUUUAUGUGUGCAUUUACAAAUAUUAUGCAUAGUUAUGUAUUUUUAAAAGGCAAGCAAAGGCCGGGUGAGGUGGCUGAUGUCUGUAAUCCCAGCACUUUAGGAGGCCGAGGCGGGCGGAUCACAAGGUCAGGAGAUGGAGACCAUCCUGGCUAACACAGUGAAACCCCAUCUCUACUAAAAAUACAAAAAAUUAGCCGGGCGUGGUGGCAGGCACCUGUAGUCCCAGCUACUCGGGAGGCUGAGGCGGAAGAAUGGCGUGAACCCGGGAGGCAGAGCUUGCAGUGAGCCGAGAUCGUGCCACUGCACUCCAGCCUGGGCAACACAGUAAGACUCCAUCUCC
rnacentral:sRNA from 1 species